rnacentral:rRNA from 1 species
GCCCCGGCUAACUACGUGCCAGCAGCCGCGGUAAUACGUAGGGGGCGAGCGUUGUCCGGAAUUAUUGGGCGUAAAGGGUACGUAGGCGGCUUUUUAAGUUUGACGUGAAAGCCCGGGGCUUAACUCCGGCAAGCGUUGAAAACUGGAGAGCUUGAGUGAUGGAAGGGACAGUGGAAUUCCUGGUGUAGUGGUGAAAUGCGCAGAUAUUAGGAAGAAUACCAGUGGCGAAAGCGACUUACUGGCAAUUAACUGACGCUGAGGUACGAAAGCGUGGGGAGCAAACAGGAUCAGAUACCCUGGUAGUCCACGCUGUAAACGAUGAGUGCAAGGUGUUGGGGGUCAAACCCCGGUGCCGCCGUUAACACAGUAAGCACUCCGCCUGGGGAGUACGUACGCA